GACUGACAGAGUGAAGGAGACAUACGUAUAGGGCAGGCAGUUGGGAAGAACAGAUGGAUAUAAAGUGAAACAAAGAACAAGCUAGAACUCGAAAAUAUUUAAGCCCGUGAGGAUGGUCUGAAACCCACGUCAGUUCUCAUUGCCUCUGGACUUGAUGGCCUGGGUGUCCUAUAUACGCUGGGGCUCUUUGUCGUGGAAGCAAACAUACACACAGACGUGGCCUGGGAGUCGCAGGAGCUGGAGGAGGAUCUUGGUGAAGGCGGAUCAGUCCCAGGCCCAGCCUCUGCUACACACCAAUGAGAGGCAGGAAUGAUCAGCAAAAAUUCCAUGGGCUCUACAUGAACACUUGCAUUUAGGGAGGCUACGUGAAUAGUCCUAGGCAACUGGAAUGAAAACGACGUAUGUCACUGCUGUUCCAAAGGCUGGGAAGGGUGGGUUGGAGUUCUUCACAUGUUCAACAACUGACAACAGGCCCGAUGCCACAGCCUGCAUGGGACAAGCCCUUCAGUGACCGUGCGGGACAGAGUCUCCUACCAGCCUGUACUGGUGAGCAGCAAGAGCACGAAGGCGGUUUUGUUUGUGUCAUGGAGCUGUUGAAGUUAAUUUACCAUCGUAGAAUGAAGUAACCCUAUUGGGACUAAUACGUUCUUAAAAAUCUUUGGACUGAUUGACUUAAACAAAAAUUUUUUUUUACCCGCUUCCAUUUUUUAUCCUGGUUUGUAUUUGGUUUAUUUUUAUUUACUUGAUGUUUAGAGCAUGUGUGUGGAGAUUUCCAUUACUGCUUGGGAGGCUAGCUUGGCGUUAGAAAGUAUGUUUUAUUCAGGAUCUAAUUGUUUUUAUUUGCCAGACCCUUCAGAGUUGGAGCACGCACCACUGCAAGCAGAAUCACUUCUUUUCAUUGUAAAUGCACAGACUCCACCACCAGUCUCUCCUGUCACACAGGACAAGUUUAGUAAACAGGUCGUCAUUGACCAGGUGGGCUUCUGAAUUUAGAUAUUUUGGAUUUAGAAAGGUGCACCUCUGAAUCAAACAUUUAAAUAAUUCAGCAGUCAAAAUGUGUGAAUAUUCAGAAUAAAUAAGGUAAAUAUAGAUAAUUAAGUAGUCUCCAGUGGUUCACAGCAGAUGCUGCCACCAAAAUAGUUAUGAAAGAAUUUGUCUUUUAUAGUUUUCUAGAUUACAAAUAAGGGAUUCUUGACCUAUAUUUCUUUAAAUAGGCCUACAGAGUAAUUAAUUAACUUACUGAUUUGUUAGUGACAUUCUAGUUCUAAGGAUAAAUUCUGGCCACUUGAGUUGAAAUUGGUGUUUUCCAAAGCUCUUUAGCAACAGUGCAUUUUGUUUUGGUUCUUAAGAGCAAUAUCAAGGUCACCAAAUGGAGGCCAUAUCCUGAUGACCCCAUUUCAGCGGCAUGUUUACUAAUAAUAAAUUUUAAUUUUGGAGAGAAAAAUGUAACCAUAUUUAUUACAUCAACAUGCUUUCAUAGCAGGUCAAAUACAAUAGUAAAAAGAUCUGGAAGCUAUAGUGUAUGAAGGAUAUUUGAAGAAAUCAAGUAUGUUAUGGAGUAGAAAGUCAGAGAGAUUAUCAAGUACAUUGAAGACUUUCAGAAGGAACUUUAGAGGCCUCUUACCCUGACCUGAUGUCCAAUACUAGAAUCCCAUCCGAAAGUUUUCCCAGUGGAAAAUCACUGCUCUCUUCUGGAAGGAGAUAGCUCAGUACUUGUUAAGGCAAGCCUCCAUAUUAUUUAAUUGCUAAACUAAUAGUUAGUUUUUCCUUAUACUGAGAAGCUUAUUACUCUUACCCACAAUCCAUUUAGGACACACACACACACACACACACAUUUUGAUUUUCCUUUUCUCUGAGAUAAACACACCCAGUUCCCCUCAAAAUAUGCAAGGAUGGAAAUGUCAAAUUGCAAAUUUCUGAACCCAAAAGGGUAGGUGAAAGAAUAAAACUCACAAUAAAAAAGAAUUUUGUUAAAA